rnacentral:rRNA from 1 species
CCUGCCCACUGAUUAAUUGAAUGGCCGCAGUAAUUUGACUGUGCAAAGGUAGCAUAAUCAUUAGUUUUUUAAUUAAAAGCUUGUAUGAAGGGUUGGACGAGGUAAGAUCUGUCUCUAUUUAAUUUAUUUUAGAAUUUAAUUUUUAAGUUAAAAAGCUUAAAUUUUAAUAAAAGACGAGAAGACCCUAUAGAUCUUUAUAUUUAUAUUAUUAAUUUUAUUUAGGAUUGUUUUAUUUUUUAUUAAUUAAAAUAUUUUAUUGGGGUAAUAGAGAGAUUUAGCAAAUUCUUUUUUAUUAAUAUAUAUAGGUUAAUAUAUGUUUGAUCCAAUUAUUUUGAUUGUAAGAUUAAGUUACCUUAGGGAUAACAGCGUAAUUUUUUUAGAGAGUUCAUAUCGAUAAGAAAGUUUGCGACCUCGAUGUUGGAUUAAAAAUUAUUU